rnacentral:rRNA from 1 species
UACAGAGGGUGCGAGCGUUAAUCGGAAUUACUGGGCGUAAAGCGUGCGUAGGCGGCUGCGCAAGUCGGGUGUGAAACCCCGGGGCUCAACCCCGGAACUGCAUCCGAUACUGCGUGGCUAGAGGUAGGUAGGGGAGAUCGGAAUUCCUGGUGUAGCGGUGAAAUGCGUAGAUAUCUGGAGGAACACCGGUGGCGAAGGCGGCAUCCUGGACCGGCAUUGACGCUGAGGCGCGAAAGCCAGGGGAGCAAACGGG